UGAGGAAGUAUUAGCACGAAUAGGAGGAAACUACUGAUGCAGCAACGCCGCGUGGAGGAUGACGCAUUUCGGUGUGUAAACUCCUUUUAUGAGUCAAGAAAAUGACGGUAGCUCAUGAAUAAGCACCGGCUAACUCCGUGCCAGCAGCCGCGGUAAUACGGAGGGUGCAAGCGUUAUUCGGAAUCACUGGGCGUAAAGGACGCGUAGGCGGGAUGCCAAGUCUGAUGUGAAAUCCUAUGGCUUAACCAUAGAACUGCAUUGGAAACUGGUGACCUAGAGUAUGGGAGGGGGAGAUGGAAUUAGUGGUGUAGGGGUAAAAUCCGUAGAUAUCACUAGGAAUACCGAAAGCGAAGGCGAUCUCCUGGAACAAUACUGACGCUAAGGCGUGAAAGCGUGGGGAGCAAACG
rnacentral:rRNA from 1 species